rnacentral:tRNA from 7 species
UAGGGGUAUAGCUCAAUUGGUAGAGUAGCGGUCUCCAAAACCGUUGGUUCCGGGUUCAAGUCCUCGUGCCCCUGCCAU